rnacentral:lncRNA from 1 species
UAAUAAUAUAUUUAUGCUUACAAUAGAAAUUUAUUUUAGGGAUGGGUAUGGAUUGGGUUAAAUGAGAUUUGUAAAAACCCAAACUAACUCACUAUCGAUUGGAUUUUGAAAAUAUCAACCCAAUAUAACGAAAUAAAUAUGUCCAACCCAACCCACAAUCCAGCCCUUAGAUCAUUGGGUGGGAUUGGGUUAGAUUGAUCGAGUUGACUAAGAUUAAAAAUUUUAAAAAUUUAAACAUAAAAGUUAAAAAAAAUAUUUGGUAUUUAAAGUCAAAUUCAGAUAAUAGAAAAGCACAUUGAUUAUCCAUCAUAAUAUUAAAUAUCAUUAAUUGUUCCCAACAUCUAUCAAUAAACAAUAUGACGAUAUUACAAAAAUUUGGGUUUGAUUUAUGAAAUUUGCAUCGAGAUAAUUCAAUCAAUGUCGGAUUUAAAAGCGAGCAAUUGAAAAAAAGUCUUUUUAUGAAAGAAUAAAAAUGGUUCAAAAUUAAAUUUAGCUAUUCAAGGUUUAACAAUUGACGGCUGGCAUAAUUUUUCUAUGAUUUUUUAUUUUUUUUGGGUUGAGUUGGGUUAUAUGAGUUCAUUAAGAGAGCCAUUAAGAUGAACCCAAUCCAACCUCAUCAUUACCCACCCCUAGUUUAUUUAAAGUCAAUUUUUUUAUUGUUAUAAUCUAAGGGUAUAAUUAUUUUAAAAAAAAGUUUGUGUGACUAUUCAUGAGAUUAAAAGGAUUUAUGUAAUCAUUUAAUAAACGCUAAGGGUGUAUAUGCCUUUUCCCAUGAUAAAUAAAUAAGUGAAUAAGAGUGUAGCACAUAAAAUAGGACAACAUGAAAAAUGUUUAGAACAUAACAAGGACAGAGCCUUACCAAAAACCAUGAACCGGUAUCGGUUUGCAGUGGUAGACCUAGGGCUAUCCCAACAAAUUUUUAUUGAUAUCUGAUGAGCAUAUAAUAUAUACAUAUUUUAUCCUUAAUUACAUAAUUGCUAGUUAUUUUUAUUUGUUAUUUUUAAUUAAUUGAAUUGUUUUAUUGAAUAGGAAAUUAAUUAGAGAUUAUGGAUAAAAAGUGGCAUGAGAAAAUUCAAUUUGCGAGCAUUAAAGAUUGAUUGAUUUGGAAGCAAUUAGACAUACAUGUAUGUGGAAGAGAAGACGAGGAAACCGAAGCUAGUAAAUUAAUUGAUCCAGCACGUGAAGAAGAAAUUAACCACAAAAUAAAUGGCUUUAGCUUAAUUGGAGUGCACGUUCAUGGCAUUGCAAUAUAUGGAAAGCAAUUUAAAGGGACCUGCACUUGGCUUUCAAAAGUGGAAAUUAAUGGCUUAUGGGGGCGUUAAUUUAGAGGAUUUGUUUUAUAAUUGAAAAAUGAUUUCAAUUAGAAUUCAAAAAGGAUUUCUUUAGAAUUGUUGGAGGAUUCGGUGGUCAAGCACUAUAAAAGCCGAACUUUGGGUUUUGGAAGGAGAGCGGCCAAAGUAGAGAGAAAGAGGGAGUAUUCGGCUUUGAAGAGGAGAGGCAGCAGCAACAACAGUUCGGAUUCCCCAUGGCUGGUUUUAUUUUAUUUGUUGCUCCCAAUUCAAGUAUGUAUAGCUAAUUUUCUUAUACUGAGGUUAAGGAUGAAACCCUAUUCAAUGAAAUAAUUAUAUUUUUAUUUAAUUAAUUCCCUACAUGUGUGCUUUAAUGUUUAUGGUUCUUGUUUCGCAUGAUUAGUUGGAUGUUAUUAAAUCUUUUCACCAAUUAUGUCAUGUAUUAUUGAUUGUUAGGAUUAAUAUUCAACUAAAUAUAUGCUUGGAUCUAUAAAGUUUAUAUAUGAAUAUUUUUUAUUCUGUGUCUUUCAUUAAAUUGUUUACAUAGAGUACGUAGGAAAACUUUGACUUUUUGUUUUUCAAUAUGUUCACAUACAAUUCUUAGAUAUCAUAUUAUUAAGGAGAAAAAGAGCCUACUCAAGAUUAAUUUUAUUUGGGCUUAAUUGUUAUAUUUAUGAGAUGACAUAGAUUGAUUUCGAGUUGUCACUCUAAAAUUGAGGAUUGAUUAAUAAUUAAAUAAUUACCAGUUGAAUAGUGGUGAAUUUUGAAACCUUGGUAACUUUUGUCUUAUUGAAUUGUUUUCUUAGUUUAAUUAGUUUAAUUUCUCUUAAAACUCAAUUUGUACAACUAAGUUAGAAUUAAUAUUAAUUUUAGAUUUAAAUUACUUUUCAAUUUAUAACAAUCCUUGUGGGUUCGACCUCGUUACCACUAUUCUAUUUCUAGAUUCGUGCACUUGUGAGUAUAUUAAAAUUUUUCACAACAAUA